AUGAACGCUAGCUACAGGCUUAACACAUGCAAGUCGAGGGGCAGCAUUUCAGUUUGCUUGCAAACUGGAGAUGGCGACCGGCGCACGGGUGAGUAACACGUAUCCAACCUGCCGAUAACUCGGGGAUAGCCUUUCGAAAGAAAGAUUAAUACCCGAUGGUAUAAUCAGACCGCAUGGUCUUGUUAUUAAAGAAUUUCGGUUAUCGAUGGGGAUGCGUUCCAUUAGGCAGUUGGUGAGGUAACGGCUCACCAAACCUUCGAUGGAUAGGGGUUCUGAGAGGAAGGUCCCCCACAUUGGAACUGAGACACGGUCCAAACUCCUACGGGAGGCAGCAGUGAGGAAUAUUGGUCAAUGGGCGCAGGCCUGAACCAGCCAAGUAGCGUGAAGGAUGACUGCCCUAUGGGUUGUAAACUUCUUUUAUAUGGGAAUAAAGUUUUCCACGUGUGGAAUUUUGUAUGUACCAUAUGAAUAAGGAUCGGCUAACUCCGUGCCAGCAGCCGCGGUAAUACGGAGGAUCCGAGCGUUAUCCGGAUUUAUUGGGUUUAAAGGGAGCGUAGGUGGACAGUUAAGUCAGUUGUGAAAGUUUGCGGCUCAACCGUAAAAUUGCAGUUGAUACUGGCUGUCUUGAGUACAGUAGAGGUGGGCGGAAUUCGUGGUGUAGCGGUGAAAUGCUUAGAUAUCACGAAGAACUCCGAUUGCGAAGGCAGCUCACUGGACUGCAACUGACACUGAUGCUCGAAAGUGUGGGUAUCAAACAGGAUUAGAUACCCUGGUAGUCCACACAGUAAACGAUGAAUACUCGCUGUUUGCGAUAUACAGUAAGCGGCCAAGCGAAAGCAUUAAGUAUUCCACCUGGGGAGUACGCCGGCAACGGUGAAACUCAAAGGAAUUGACGGGGGCCCGCACAAGCAGUGGAGUAUGUGGUUUAAUUCGAAGCAACGCGAAGAACCUUACCAGGUCUUGACAUCCUACUAACGAGAUAGAGAUAUGUUAGGUGCCCUUCGGGGAAAGUAGAGACAGGUGGUGCAUGGUUGUCGUCAGCUCGUGUCGUGAGAUGUUGGGUUAAGUCCCGCAACGAGCGCAACCCUUAUCUUUAGUUACUAACAGAUCAUGCUGAGGACUCUAGAGAGACUGCCGUCGUAAGAUGUGAGGAAGGUGGUGAUGACGUCAAAUCAGCACGGCCCUUACGUCCGGGGCUACACACGUGUUACAAUGGGGGGUACAGAAGGCAGCUACCUGGUGACAGGAUGCUAAUCCCAAAAGCCUCUCUCAGUUCGGAUCGAAGUCUGCAACCCGACUUCGUGAAGCUGGAUUCGCUAGUAAUCGCGCAUCAGCCACGGCGCGGUGAAUACGUUCCCGGGCCUUGUACACACCGCCCGUCAAGCCAUGAAAGCCGGGGGUACCUGAAGUACGUAACCGCAAGGAGCGUCCUAGGGUAAAACUGGUAAUUGGGGCU
rnacentral:rRNA from 1 species